rnacentral:rRNA from 1 species
GACGAACGCUGGCGGCGUGCCUAACACAUGCAAGUCGAGCGGAGCCAACUAGACAAUCCCUUCGGGGUGCGUCUGGGGAAGCUUAGCGGCGGACGGGUGAGUAACGCGUGAGUAACCUGCCUUACAGAGGGGGACAACAGUUGGAAACGACUGCUAAUACCGCAUAAUGUCUAACUGAGGCAUCUCGGAUAGACCAAAGGAGCAAUCCGCUGUAAGAUGGACUCGCGUCCAAUUAGAUAGUUGGUGGGGUAACGGCCCACCAAGUCGACGAUUGGUAGCCGGACUGAGAGGUUGAACGGCCACAUUGGGACUGAGACACGGCCCAGACUCCUACGGGAGGCAGCAGUGGGGGAUAUUGCACAAUGGGGGAAACCCUGAUGCAGCAACGCCGCGUGAAAGGAAGAAGGGUCUUCGGGAUUGUAAAACUUCUGUUUUUAGUGAAGAAACAAAUGACGGUAGCUAAAGAGGAAGCCACGGCUAACUACGUGCCAGCAGCCGCGGU